ACGAGUGUGUGUGUACAUAUAUAUUAUAUUAUACACAAUACAUAUAUUAUGUAUAAGUACGCCGAUCGUUUGAUAACAAAACUAUGAUAGUCGACGCAUACUAAUCAGCUACUAAUACUACAGCGGGCCAUCGAUGAAACAAAAACAUAAUAAUAUUAUAGUAUAAUAAUAUAUUAAAUAUGCGUACGUACGUCCGUUUGUUUUUUCUCGAUUUUUAUUUUGUGCAGUUGCACGUGACCAUUCCACUUUCCCGCGGCUGUGUGUGGACGACAGUUUGGCCCGAGGACCGUCAAAUAGUAUACAUGUUUCGACUGUAGUUACGGUCUGAUGCAAUACAAGUCAUCCUAGCCGUCACGAGUACGAAUAAUAUAGUACAAGUAAUAUUAAUAAAAAUAAAAAUUUUACGAAGAUCGAAAAUCGCGAUGAUUUCAGUGAACUUAAGCAGAGAUGGCAAUCUGUGAUUCAAGUUAAGUAGAUACCUUACUCAUUGACAUAAUAUUUUGGAAGUGUCCAACGACCAACACGCGAUAUAGGCAGCCGUCUACAACAAUGCGCAAUGUAUGAUAAUAAUGUUUAUAUUUGUUUUAUGUAUUCAACAUUAUACUAAUUUUUGGACUAAUUUUCUAAAUUUACUUAAUUUUUAUAC